UACAGAGGGUGCGAGCGUUGUUCGGAAUUAUUGGGCGUAAAGCGCGCGUAGGCGGCUACUUAAGUCGGAUGUGAAAGCCCCUGGCUCAACCGGGGAAGUGCACCCGAAACUGAGUAGCUAGAGUACGAAAGAGGGUCGCGGAAUUCCCGGUGUAGAGGUGAAAUUCGUAGAUAUCGGGAGGAACACCGGUGGCGAAGGCGGCGACCUGGGUCGAUACUGACGCUGAGGCGCGAAAGCGUGGGGAGCAAACAGG
rnacentral:rRNA from 1 species